AGUGAACGCUGGCGGUAGGCCUAACACAUGCAAGUCGAACGGCAGCACAGUAAGAGCUUGCUCUUACGGGUGGCGAGUGGCGGACGGGUGAGGAAUACAUCGGAAUCUACUUUUUCGUGGGGGAUAACGUAGGGAAACUUACGCUAAUACCGCAUACGACCUACGGGUGAAAGCAGGGGAUCUUCGGACCUUGCGCGAUUGAAUGAGCCGAUGUCGGAUUAGCUAGUUGGCGGGGUAAAGGCCCACCAAGGCGACGAUCCGUAGCUGGUCUGUGAGGAUGAGCGGCCACACUGGAACUGAGACACGGUCCAGACUCCUACGGGAGGCAGCAGUGGGGAAUAUUGGACAAUGGGCGCAAGCCUGAUCCAGCCAUACCGCGUGGGUGAAGAAGGCCUUCGGGUUGUAAAGCCCUUUUGUUGGGAAAGAAAAGCAGCAGGUUAAUACCCCGCUGUUCUGACGGUACCCAAAGAAUAAGCACCGGCUAACUUCGUG
rnacentral:rRNA from 1 species